rnacentral:rRNA from 1 species
UACAGAGGUGGCAAGCGUUGUUCGGAAUUACUGGGCGUAAAGGGCGCGUAGGCGGUUCGUUAAGUCCUGUGUGAAAUCCCUCGGCUCAACCGGGGAACUGCGUCUGAUACUGGGUGGCUUGAAUCCGGGAGAGGGAUGCGGAAUUCCAGGUGUAGCGGUGAAAUGCGUAGAUAUCUGGAGGAACACCGGUGGCGAAGGCGGCAUCCUGGACCGGCAUUGACGCUGAGGCGCGAAAGCCAGGGGAGCAAACGGG